GGGGAUUAGCUCAUUUGGCUAGAGCGUCCCGAUGCAAUCGGGAAGGUAAUGGUUCGAUUCUAAUAAAACUCCA
rnacentral:tRNA from 1 species